UACGUAGGGGGCAAGCGUUGGUCCGGAUUUAUUGGGCGUAAAGCGCGUGUAGGCGGCCAGGUAGGUCCGCUGUGAAAACCCGAGGCUCAACCUCGGGACGUCGGCGGAAACCAUUUGGCUAGAGUCCGGAAGAGGAGAGUGGAAUUCCCGGUGUAGCGGUGAAAUGCGCAGAUAUCGGGAAGAACACCCGUGGCGAAGGCGGCUCUCUGGGACGGUACUGACGCUGAGACGCGAAAGCGUGGGGAGCGAAACAGG
rnacentral:rRNA from 1 species